CUUUACUUUUUUUUUUAAUCACAGAAUUAGAAAAGUUGGUACUUCAGUGUUCUUUAUCAUUAUGGUUUAUCACUUCUUAGUUAUUAGAUUACAGGCAUCUUGACUGAUCAUAUUUCACAGACGAAUGAGAUGGAUGUGGAGAUGGCUGAUGGCAGUCAGACAAAGAGUUCAUUGAAGCCUUUUGGUGGGGUGGGUAAGAAAUCCCAACGGCCGGGUGUUCAAGGUGGGCAAGAGAAGGCGUCAUGGCAAGGGCAAGGGCGGAAAGGUUAAGAGGCGUCAUAUUUGAGAGACUGAUGUGUCUUGCAUCUUAGAGAGAUUUCAGUGUGUGUUUUUGAGAAAUUACGGUUGUGGCUUACACUUGAUAUAUGUAAUCUCUGAGGUAGCUCCCUUCCAAGGUUCCAAAUUAUAAUUAUCAUUUUGUACCAAUGCUAAUACGCAACACCAGUAUGCUCUAAUUGUCUAGCAUUGUGUGGUAAAUCCAGCAAGUUGUGUUACCUCAAGGUUUUACAUUUUUGGUUUUUGUUCUCCCAUGUAAUUUCUAAGGGUUCCGGUAUCUAAAGAGUUGAUAUAUUCUGGG